UACGUAGGGUGCAAGCGUUAAUCGGAAUUACUGGGCGUAAAGCGUGCGCAGGCGGUUUUGUAAGUCUGUCGUGAAUCCCCGGGCUCAACCUGGGAACUGCAUCCGAUACUGGAAGGCUUGAAUCCGGGAGAGGGAUGCAGAAUUCCAGGUGUAGCGGUGAAAUGCGUAGAUAUCUGGAGGAAUACCGGUGGCGAAGGCGGCAUCCUGGACCGGCAUUGACGCUGAGGAGCGAAAGCUAGGGGAGCAAACGGG
rnacentral:rRNA from 1 species